GUAUUUUAUACAUGUACAUUUUUCAUUUUUGUAUUGUACACUUGACAGACUGCUUGAGGGCUAGUCGUCCACGGUCCACCAACAUUCCAACACCAAGCCCAGCAGGGCAGUAGGCUAGCACGUCAUCACACAUUCACACCAUCCCAUCAGGCAUCCAGGCACCACCGCACGUAGCGAUAGCACAAGCAAAAAAAACAAACCCUACAGGCUACAACCUACGCGGACGCGGUUUGCUGGGCGGCUGUGCCUGCGUCGGCGGGCGCCGCACCUGCACACAACACGCCUGUUCUUGACCGGAGCUGACACUGGCCACCGCAGCUGACACCGGCGCACCUCCCCCUGACCGGAUUCAGGCCUGACACCACUGAGGCGCCGACUACUAGGAGCCCAGCCGCCAGGACGGUGACGAACUGAUAGCCAUGGAUUCUCAGACGCCGACAAACUCGGAUGGUGACCAAGGAAGGAACGCUGACAAGGAAGUGCAAGUGCCACAUCUAACUGCUCCAUCAUCGGUGGCUGGUGUGAGUGCGACCAACACCAACUCCAACUCCAACUCGAUCAACAGCCAACCGCCAGACGCCAACUCCGACUGCAGGUGUUGUUGCUGCCAAGAACAAGAAGAUAGACAACCCUUCAAAAGCAAGAGACAAAGCGUCUACUCCAGAAUCAUCUACCACCAGUGGCGUCGUUCAAUCAAAAUCCCUAGGGUUUGAUUGUAAAGCUUGCAAACCCUCUUUUGUUUUCUUACUCUGAUUUUUUUAUCCAUUUUUGUAAUUUAGACAGGAAAUUAGUUUGUAUAUUAAUGUGUUCUGUAUUGGACAGAUUUGAAAGGAAAUAGGCUUACACCUUUUCCUAAUUGAUUUUGGUGGUUGAACUGCCCAACACAAAUAA